AUGCAAUAUGGAGUCCAGCAUCAUCAGGACAGUGUGUCUUCUUUCCACAGGGCUGAGCCAUGCAGAGCCUUGCUUAAAGAAGGUGGCCUACACAGAUCUGAGGAACUGCUGUGCAUCGCUUCAUCAGGGUUCCUGCUCUCUUUGGCCCCAUGCCCACACAUCUGGGACAGGAAGCCACCCCAUUUCUUUACAUGGUCUCAAGUACCACACACUUGCCCCAUCCCUCCCUGGGACAGAGGAGAUCCCCAACUAGCAGAUUUUGCUGCUGACUCUGAGCAAGGAAGGGAAGUUGCCAGCUGGUGUUUUUGAAGGAACUCCUGCUCAAAAAUGUUACUAGCUCCACAUUCAAAGACCUUAAACCUUGAUUAAAUUCUGCCUGGAAAGCAAUGAGCCUGGGAGCUUUGUGUAGUCCAACCCUGACAAGUACCAGAUGUGUGGUGUGCCAUCCCCCAAAACCAUCUGGUUCUGCUGGGAAAGGGAAAAGAGAAGUCUGAGAUUUUUUGGAUGUGGAAGAGAUGGGGAGCGACUUUGCUCAGCUAAUGAAAUUGCAAUUCAUUAGCUGAGAGAAGGGAGAGGAGAACGAGGAAGAAGCUGUAAAUUGUAAGGAUCUUCCUCUUCUCUGGGUCAUAUUGCUGUUCCUUGGGAAAGGAAUGUCAGGGCCACGAGAGCUCAGGCCACACAAAUCCUUGAAGAAAGGGAGUCUAAGCUUGCUCACGGGUGCAUGGAGGUUGUGUUCAUAAAGUGUGGUCCCUGUCCUUGGGACCGUGAAGAGAGAUCCCACCAGGAUCAGGUGGAAGCCAACAGGAAGCUUUAGUAGUUAAAAAGCAAAUAAAUAGAAGGGGAAGUGAAGCAUUUUCUGGCUGAUGCUGCUUGGAUGAUGGGAGUUGGGGGGGAAAAAAAAAAAAAGACAGUGGGCUGUGACUAUCCCACUUUGUCAGUUCUGUCUCCAAAAGCCCCAUCAGAAGUGUAGGUAAUAUCACUCUCAGAUCCUUUCCAGGCAGAUGGGGCAGAUACGCUGCUUGGCUUUCCCAAAGAAAGACCCAGCCUACAAAAAUCAUAACUUAUGUUGUGGUUUCAUAAAUAAAAAGCUUUUAACUUUGUACUACAGAUAAAUUACAUCUGCAGACAACUGUCCUCUGUUAAUGUCCCCCCAUCAUAUCUCUCCCAAAGGCUAGCAGGCGUGUGGGCAUUUGGGGCCUCCUCUGUCCUUGUGCCUAAGGUUGCUUCCAGCUGACCCAGCCCCAGUUCAUGCUGUGGAGUCCUAGACAAGACAUCAUGGAUACAGGCACACUGAUCCACUGUGCACAAGCAGCUAGAAAGAUGGGGCAUCUUCUACAUCCUAUGGGCUGCCUGGACACCAAAUAUUCCCUGUACUGGUGGCUAUGAAUGCUGAGGUGAAGGCUGGCAGAGAAAACCAUGUCCCCAACCCGAAGGAGAGGCUUGGCAGAGCAAGGCAGCAUCCCUAGCAAAGUUUUGGGGAUGGAUGUGUAAAGAAAUGUCUUCCCAUGUAGGCUGUAGCUCCUCAACAUGUCAUCUGCUCCCCACAGUUGCUGUAUUUCUGUCCACAACUUGUCAUCUCCUAAAAGUUUCUAGGGGGGAGGACAUCUCUGUGUAGGCUAUUGCAAAUCUCCCAGGAAUUUGUGCUCUCUUCCCUGUAGAUUUGGGAACAACAGGGUAUCUGUCUACCUGCUGUGCCCCUGGUUAUGCUCCAUCCAUUUCCACUUAAUACAUGUUGGCUUUAUACCUUGGUCAUUGAGAGGCUGGUGGGAGUUUCCAUUUUCACAGGAGCUGGAUUUACAGCUAGAUAAGUAAGUUUACUCAUCUUAGCAACUUUACCUUUCAUUUCUUUGGUUCUCUCAACACCUUUUCUUACCCAUUUCAGGAAAACGUCUCUGCUUAGAGUCUUUCUUUAGAAAAAACAACGAAGUAAGUCUUGGUAGGAUGCUCAGGAUGCUGUGCUCUGGUGUACUUGUGGUCUGAAUUGGUGCCCCGAGUCUAGCACAGGAGGUGCUCUAAGGAAUAUAAAGGCAGAACUGCCAGAACUGGAAAGGAAAAAAUAAAAUUAAACAACAACGUAACCCUGCUGUCAGAGAAAUUGGCAUUCCCGCUUUGCAGCAAAUUUGAACAAGCUGACUGCCAGUAGCUUAGACAAGGAGAGGAGCUCAGCAGUCACAUGUUCUGGGAAGAAUUCCCACACGUGUGAGGGGGGGGAAAAGCCUGAUACAAGCAUGGUCUGGUGUUACAACUCAGCUGUAGAGCCAUCAGCACUGGAGCAAAUCCAAGUGGCCUUCAGCACAGGAAAAAAAUAGAGGAAAAAUAAAAUCCAAGCUUUUAAUCCAGCAUCACUCCACAGUAUUUAAAGUGGAGCCCAACAGCACCAAGAGUAAAUUAUCGUAGAGAAACACAGUUGUCUAAUCACUUCCAUGGCGUUGUGAGAACGAAUGUCAGUUUUGUCAACCUCCUUCACACAAAAUGUUGCGUAUCCGUCAGCUUUCAUCUUCCUUGACAGCCAGGUCACAUUUGACAAUUCCUCCUCGAAAUGAACGUACCCAUAUUUUCCUUUGCAAAUGAGAGGGUUUGGUGUUUCUGCUGUGAUUAAUAGGAACCAUUGUCUCUCUCAUAACCCUUAGCUUCGUUUUGGGCUUUUUCUGUAACAAAAGACUUUAUUGGAGCUGAAACAUGUAAUUUUGCAAACUCCUACACAGCCAUAAAGCACACAGACGUGCAUUAUAUCUGAUAUACGCUGUGAAGCCACGAG
rnacentral:lncRNA from 1 species